rnacentral:lncRNA from 1 species
AGAUUACUUUUGGCGGAGGUAACACUUUGUUGCCACUAAAAGUAAACUCUAGGUGACUAGAAAGUUGAAAUUUUACUGUUUUCUCGAAGCAGUUAACAGUGGCUUGAUAUGCUGCCAACCAGUCCAUCCCAAGGAUCAUGUCGAAAUUCUUCAUCUCUAGGACUAGUAAAUCUACUUUCAUUUCUCUGCCUUCAAUGUUUAAGAUACAAUCUUUGCAGACAGAGUUAACUAAGAUUAUAUCUCCAUUAGGGAUGGAGACACACAGUU